rnacentral:rRNA from 1 species
AUGUUUCUAGGUCUGCUGAAUCCGCAUGCCCCACAUGGAAAAUUGCUAGCUGUGGGGCUUGUGGCCGCUUGGACCUCCAUUGCUGCCGCUGCUUCGUCGCUGAGCGAGCAGGUAUGGUGCAGCCAGAAAUCUUUCAAUUGCAUGCCCUGCUCUAUGAUAUACAUUUCUGAUGCAUAUCCCGGCACCUUCACGCCACCGCUUGCUCAACAUAAUGGCUUAGCUGACGUACCUGAUUCUUCUGACUUGUGCAAAGGACUCACUAAUGACCUUGAUGUGCCUGUGCUUUUGGAAUCGCACCGGCAACUUGUUGGUGAAGGUUCCCACCGCCGUCUUGUCUAUUCCAUGAAAUUUGGUAACAGCGAAGAUACUUUGGUAAAAUUCCUUGAUGACUAUGAUGCGAAUCUUGUGAUAAUUGAGAGCCUCCCUAGUGGGGUCUUUGUUGACCCAUUCGAGCUGCAUCAUUUUGUUGAACGAAAAGUUUUUCUUGAUGUUGCUGUUUUUGGAGACACAAACCUGGAGCUUCCCUCAGCUCUGUCCAACCUGUCAGCUGUUGAGAUUCAUUUUGAUCUCAAGCCAAGCACAUCAAUGAACUGCAACCUUGUGAUGGAGCUUCCUCUCCAUGCUAGAUACCCAUCUCUGGAUGCCAGCGGUUAUGCAACGGUCGAGUUCGGCAGCCCUGACCUGCUCCUCCGUUACAGAAGAAAGGAAACCCACCCUAAUUCCUGCCUGUGUGUCCUCCAGAAUCUCGACGCGAUGCCUGUGGAGAAAGCCACGUGGCGCAUACCCUGUGGCAAUGAGGCGCACACAGGAUUUGUAUCUAGCCUCACUUUCAUUUCGGCUCUGGUUUGCUCCAUGUCCAUAGUCCUAGCAGCCUCCCUGGUUUCUUGA